CCUAAAUUUUUAAAAAAGUUAACUAAAGAUUUAAAAACUGAACACAUAUACAUGGCAGACCCUAACUCAACUUUCAGAUAUUAAGUCUUCAUACAUGAAAGUCCACCCCAUACUACAAAAACUACCUUUUCCCUUGCUUUCUUAUUUGCCCCUGAGCCAGUCCACAGUAGGAUAUGAUGGAAGAAUAGGGAGGGAGGAUAGCAUCAGAAGGAUGAGAGAUGUGCACAUGUCUACCUUUCUUUUUGAAACAUGGCAUCUAACUUUUUAGAAGGAAAGAAGAGUAUAGAGUUGUCUUCUUAGUCUAGUAUGUUUUUCCAUAUUUUAAUGUCAUCUGUUCAAAAAUAUCUC